UACAGAGGUCCCAAGCGUUGUUCGGAUUCACUGGGCGUAAAGGGUGCGUAGGUGGUGAAGUAAGUCGGAUGUGAAAUCUCGGAGCUUAACUCCGAAACUGCAUUGGAAACUACUUUGCUCGAGGGUUGGAGGGGGGACUGGAAUUCUCGGUGUAGCAGUGAAAUGCGUAGAUAUCGAGAGGAACACCAGUGGCGAAGGCGAGUCCCUGGACAAGACCUGACACUGAGGCACGAAAGCCAGGGGAGCAAACAGG
rnacentral:rRNA from 1 species